CCAUAAGGCCUUCUGGUCUCCGAUGUCAGGGAACACACGUGUGGGUCCUGACUCUCAGCCUUGUCUGACCCUCACUGCACGUGGAAAGCAGCCCGGCGUCUGCUGGUGCGCAGGUGCUGAGCAGGUCUCAGCCUCCGUGGACUCACUGGUAACACAGACAAGGCCUGUAAGAACCGGGCUUGUUCCAGCCCAAUCCUGGUGCCAACAGGAGCAUGGAGACUCCUCACGGGGCCACUCAGAACUCCCACUUGGUGAAGAAAACCUUCCCGAAUGUUCCACACGCCAGGAGAGGGGCCCUGCGGCUGCGUCUUCAUGUAUCAGGUUAGCUGGCAGCUCAUUUCCAGUCCUGGAAACAAAUGAUGGACACAAAUGACAUCACCGAAUACGGGUACCAGAACCAUCAGAAGUUUUCUGCAUUACAUUGAAUCUGGCUUGAAGCCUUUGAGAUAUGAGAUCUGCCCAAUAUCCGUCAUCAUGAGGGACCCACAGGUAGAGAUCAGGGCAGGUGAGCUCACGAACUUAGAGAAAAGACAUCUAGCUGCCAAGGCAGCGUUGUAAAUCCAGCUACUCAUUGCUCAAGCACAAGCCUUCCUUCAAGACCGGCAACUCCUCUCUCCUCACAGCCCGCAAAGAGGCAGGAUUGUUCUGCUGCAGCUCCAGUAUGUCUGCUUUUGAGACCCUCUCCACCAGAAUCCUCGGGGUACCCUGGCAUGUCCUCAUCUAGACAACUGGAUAAUGCGCAAACAUCAUGUUCUGCCAAGAGUUUAGAAGUAGACGGGGGUUAGAGAUGUCUCUCCACCUUGCUACCAAGUCAGGUCCCUUUGGGGACAGGAAGUGAAGAGCUAUUAGUGUUUACAACUGGACAACAGGCAUAAACCAAAACUGUGCAGGCAGAGAAGGUCCUACGUCACUGCCUUCAUGAGGGAAAUUGAUCUCAGCAAAACCUGGCUACACUUGCAGACACUUGACGGCAAACAAAACAGACAGAACUUGUUAGAGACGGGUCUUGACCCACGGGUACACUGCUCAACAGAGAACCAGAAAUUCCCUCGACAGCGCCACCAUCACACCAGCUCAAGGCCAGCGACUGGCGAGAAGUACCGCUGCCCAGUGCUUUGUCUACAGUCUGCCCCACCCCGCCCCCAAGAGCACCUGUAGUAUCUGGCAGAGCCGGGGUCUUCGUCUCAAAUCCCACCCUGCCCAGCUUCACCCCUUCUCUGUCCUGCUUGUCCGGCUCCACGGGGCUCUUCCUAACCGAUGACUUGCUCUCAGCUCCUGAGAACCCAGGCUUAGCUGGUCAUACCAGCAGCAAGACUAAAAGGAUACAGAGCCUGAGUCUGAUCUGCUUUUGCUCUCCUCCUCGCAUCGCAAAAGCCAACAGAACCAUAAAGAGUCAUAAAGAAAAGCAUCUAGAAAUGAAUUAUUUACAGAGACCUUCAUUUUGGUAAACUAAUUCUUUUGGACCCUUCCAAGUGAGACCUUUACUAAAUCAAAACAGUUGAAGGAAACACUAAUAGCAUAGAUUAUUGUAUAUUAUUUUUCAAUAUGCUUCCUAAUGGCUUGAUGUUUGUCUAACAUGGAGAUUCCAUGGGCCAUUUCUAAGGCAAGUGGUAUGAACUCCCCAAAGCUUCUAAAACUGGCCUGAAAGUGGGACUCCGGUCAGCUUCCGUCAUGAAUGAGGGCAACUCAAAAGGAAACAUGAUAAGAAAUGGGACCCGUAACACAGGACCAAUGGAGCCCAGUGGUCCUCUCUGGCUUGGCAUGAUGUUGAGUUUUGAAGGUGUACCCCUUCUUGUCCCCCAUCCCAGAUCCAUGGAUGGAAAGCUCCAUACUAUAAACCUGGGUCACACUCAGUGACAACGAGUAGAAGCCAUCAGGUUCCACAGUGUCAGUGCUCAAUGAACCAAGUUCACUGCCGCGGUGAAGGGCGUGACCCCUUUUGCUAAUAGCAUAGAGAAGCGGCAAAAAUAUGACACAAUUCCAGACGUGUAUGUCUGUGGGUCAUGGUUCUAUGUGUCUUUUCUUUAAGGUAAAACAAAUACUUAAGUUGAAUUAAAAUUCCGUUAAGACGCAGAGUUUGAUGAAAGCAAGCGUGUGGCUCAUCAUAUUUUAAUAUGUAGCAGGUUUUUCCUUCAAUAAAUCAUAGAUAUGAGUUUAUUUUAAAUACGUAUUUUCUUCUCUAGAGUGCUCACUGAAACACAAAGAUUCAGACUUUGGAAGCAAGAUCUUCCAUUCUCUUAGGAAAACUUUUAUUCAACAUGAUUUUUUCAAAACCGUACCAGUGGUCUCGGGGAAAGUUAGUUUCCUUAAUUGGAUAGGAGCAAAAUAAUCAGGAUUCUUCCCUCAAGCAGCAUUUUUCCUCAUUUUAUGUUGAAAUGUUUGAUAGCCUUUAAAAUGAUGAAUUGCAUGCCUCCAUUUUACACAUACAGUAUUUUUUCAAGUACUUUUCAUGUCAGUGAGACAGAGGAAUCUCUCAUACAGGAAGAACUCCGUGAAAAGGAAAAAAGCGGAGAACUCCCAGAAGCGGGUCUGGAUGGAGAGGCUGCUGGGUAAAGCAGCCCCUUUCCCUAGGAAGGAAGUUGUGCUUUCCCACCACGGGCCUGUGCUCCACCGUGAGCUUACAGGACACCAUCUCAAGCGGCACACAUUUGGCCAAAAUAUGUAGGAUUUUUACACCAAUAGUCAGAUGGUGGAUCCCUGUUGGGAAAAAGAACAAUCAUCUUGGAACAAAACCAUCAGCAAGAUCAUGAGGAAGAAGCUGUAAGAAAAGCGGGUGCCCUUGAGAAUAUCCUUUUUGAAAAGGAAGCAACGAGCCUUCUCCUAAAACCACCUCUGCCUUUUAUAAACUGUCACCUGGAAUUCAGUUGUCUCUUUUUGAUGUGUGCGACAUUGCUGGUUUCAUCUUUUGAUUUUCUGGACUGGGUUUGAUCAGAAAUCUCUGAAAAUGUACUUUGUGGAAACUUCUGUCAAGUGCCUGAAUGACAGUGUGAAAAAAUGUUUGGGGACGGAGAAAAAUCAGUGCAUAUGGGGCUGGGUGACAACUUCUUAAGGGAAACCUAAAAAUGGAGAUUUCUAGCCAAAAUGUUUAAUUACUGCCUAAUCAAGGCAGGCCAAGCCAUCUGUUGGCUGGGAUCUUGUCCCCACCUCUGGGGGUGCCUGGUGAUUGGCUGGCCGGGUGUGAGAGAGCCAUCUCCAGCUGACAUCUGUCAUCUGUCAACCUCCCAACUGCAGUGAUGGGUGAAGUUGCUAUAGGCUGUCAACGGGCCAUAUGGAAUGAUGAGUAAACGAACACACCGUGACCACAUCACAGACGCAGGGUGUUUAACAGGCAAACCAGCCGCUCACCAGCCAGUCUAGCCUAGACUGGAGGCCUGGAUUUUGUCCUGCUAGAGAAGGGGAGGGAAGUGGUGUCAUGGUUACAUGUUAGAAGCCACCUUGUCUUACACCUGUGCUGGAAAGGUGAAUGGAAUAAGUCAAUAAGCUCAUGAACAAGUUUAUCAAUUAACUUACAAAUGUAAGUAUUUUAGGGUGAAACUAUAAUAAAUCUAUACACAGGAAUCUACUAAUGUCAUGGAUAUUAACCCCAGGAGUCCAGUCAGUAGCAAAAAUCUCAGCUCCACUUAGCUGUGGCCACUCAUGAAAUUUUCUCAGUGGGUCUCAAUUCCAACUGCUCAUUGGACCAACUAAAUAAAAAUUGCAGUUGGGGGACCCAGGCGUAAAUAUACCUCAUAGCAAAUAUGAAAUAAGAAUCAAGGUAAGAUGUCUCGCCAUUUUGAAGGCAGAUAAAUAGCAAGCUGGAAGCCCUCCGUUGCUGGUAAUUGCAGUGGCAGAGCUCAUCGCGUGCCUGUCUGGCUCCAAAGUCUACGCUGACUCGUUUCAGCCCCUAACAUGGAUCUCGAGCUCGACCCUCAAAUUUGGAUCUAACUUGUCUUGCGAGGGAACAUUUCCGACUCCCUGGCCGCUCCCAUCCUGCCCAGCCAAGGCCAUCAGCCUCCUGCCCCCCAGGCGACACACCUGGAUCCCACCCUCCUCCACUGAGUUACAACAGGGGCCAAAUCCACACAGCAUCUUCGAUCCCUGGCCCCUGAACUCCCUCAUGCUAUGGGCCAUGCAGCCAAAAAAAGAAUUUUUUUAAAUUAAGAAAAUUUUUAAAACCCAACAAAGUAAAUAGGACUAUUUGAUUUUUGAUUUUUUUAAAAAGUGAAAGCCCAAUAGGCUUAAAAACCAUUUCAUCUCUCAUUAAUUCUGAGCUCUUUCUGGAACUGGGUGACAGUAUGUCUAAUAAAAGCAUUAAAGAUGCUUUUUUUGGGUACUUUCAAUGCAUUAAUUUGCUUAAAAUGAUACGUUAAGUUUUGGUUUUAAAAAUGAUACAUACUGGGCCUAUAAAAUUUGGAAAAGUAGAAAAAAGAAUGAUCAUGAGAAAAUCAUUGUUAAUAUUUUAAAGUGUUCUAUUUCAUUUAAAAAUUUUUAUUGGAAAAAAGAAACAAAACUGGAAAACAUGCUAAACUUAGAAUAAAAGUUUCUUCCCAAC
rnacentral:lncRNA from 1 species